rnacentral:rRNA from 1 species
UGAGUAACACGUAUCCAACCUGCCGUCUACUCUUGGCCAGCCUUCUGAAAGGAAGAUUAAUCCAGGAUGGCAUCAUGAGUUCACAUGUCCGCAUGAUUAAAGGUAUUUUCCGGUAGACGAUGGGGAUGCGUUCCAUUAGAUAGUAGGCGGGGUAACGGCCCACCUAGUCAACGAUGGAUAGGGGUUCUGAGAGGAAGGUCCCCCACAUUGGAACUGAGACACGGACCAG